CCUACGGGAGGCAGCAGUGAGGAAUAUUGGUCAAUGGGCGGGAGCCUGAACCAGCCAAGCCGCGUGAAGGAAGAAGGCGCCACGCGUCGUAAACUUCUUUUGUCGGGGAACAAAGGGCGCCACGUGUGGCGUUGUGAGUGUACCCGAAGAAAAAGCAUCGGCUCACUACGUGCCAGCAGCCGCGGUAAUACGUAGGGGGCAAGCGUUAUCCGGAUUUACUGGGUGUAAAGGGAGCGCAGACGGCUGUGCAAGUCUGGAGGGAAAGGCGGGGGCCCAACCCCCGGACUGCUCUGGAAACUGUAAAGCUGGAGUGCAGGAGAGGUAAGCGGAAUUCCUAGUGUAGCGGUGAAAUGCGUAGAUAUUAGGAGGAACACCAGUGGCGAAGGCGGCUUACUGGACUGCAACUGACGUUGAGGCUCGAAAGCGUGGGGAGCAAACAGGAUUAGAUACCCGUGUAGUC
rnacentral:rRNA from 1 species